GGAUUGUGGCUCAGUGGUAAAGCACUUGCCUUGUAUGCAUGAGGCCCUGGGUUCGAUCCUCAGCACCA
rnacentral:tRNA from 1 species